AUGGUAAUGGUCCCUGAAGACAGCGCUUGCCAGAAUCAAUGGAGGAGAACUUGGCAGGACUCUCAGUUCAAUGUAUGGGAAUUCUGGAGGCUGUGGCAGACAAAAUGUCUGACUUGGAGGUUGCAAUCCCAAGGAAGCCUCCAUCCCUAGGGAAGUUUCCAUCCCUGCAAAGGAAUCAAGGACGAUGAGUCUGAAAAUGGGGACUGCCGAACAAGAUUGUGGUUAAAAUCUCAGCACUUGAAUUCUAGGGAUGUGUGGACUCACAGUUACCAGCUGAAAACUGGACCCUCCUUUCGAAUGGAGCUGACUGAAGUCUUCGACCCUUUGACCCGCUGGCAUUGGGUGGACGUCCUCUCGGCUCCCACCUUAAUCAAUGGCGUCAUGGCCGCAGUGGCUGGGGCCGGGCACCCGACUUUUCUGGACAUCUCUCAGCAAAGAGGAAGGAUGGAAACCGCAUCGCAAAAAGGAAUCACCAAAGGCAAACUGGAGCUUCCUAACAAGUGUCACCUGAGAGAUCUUCCUGUAAUCCAGAUGGUUAGUGUUGAGACUCUGUUCAUAUUUGCAGUGAAAUGGUUUACACCUUGAAAGCUUCCUUCCUCCUUUCCAAGCUUACAUUAAGUCGCUUUCAUUUGAUCUCCUGAAUAUCUUUUGAAUCAGCCAGCUUUUGAAUCUCCUUCAACAUCAUAAUGCAGGUCUUGCCUGACCUAUGGCAUUGGAGUCCAGUGGUGUCCAUAGAUCUAUUCUUUCCAUUCUUCCAGUAUGUUUUUUUGCAGAAAUCUUUUAAAUAGGUCAUUACAAAAAAUUGAAAUGGAAAUGGAACUGGAAGAAGUUCAUAGUUCUCAUAGACAGAGUAAAGCAUUAUUUUGAGAAUAAAAGGAAUCUCCUUACAUGGUCUAUAGGGUCCUGUAUUGUCGCGACCCCUUGCCCGCAAGGAAGACGCAACUCGGGAAUCUUCUUUCAACAGUUUAUUCAGGCCCUUGAUAUUUCUUCUUCUCUCUCCCGGAUGCCCCUCCCAGCCUUAAUAAAGCAUCCCAAGCCCCAAUGCAAAGCUGCCGCGUGGAGCUUUCUCACAGGGUGGUGAAAAAUCAUGUGCCAACUCUCCCAGAUAAGGAGUUGUUUGUCACUGACCACAGCGGAGCCAGCGUCAUCUUGUAAUGGCGACCAUAAUCUGCAGAAACGGCAGAAGCGGCUCACCACAGUUCCCCCUUUUCUGUUUUCUUAAAACAAUACAGGCGAGAGUAGAGGUCUUAUCCCACUGUGCAGAAGUGGCUGCAUAGUAUGACUCAGUCCUAAGGAGGCGCCUUCCCCAGAUCUGAAGCCAUAUCAGCCGACACCUUUUUUCGCAGGGCGGGGCGUGGACCCGUCUAACCCGCAUGCAAUAGGACAUGCUCUCCUUGAGGUCCUCGUCAAGGAUCACUCAAGUGCAGUGCCUUGCCUCGCAUCCUGUAUCGUGACGAUGGUGGACAAAGGGAGAUAGCUGAGGCUGAACUGUGGCUAUUUAUAAUGACAAACAAGUUGACAGCACCCUGAAAGAAAGGCAUGAACUUCAAGGCGAUAGAAAAGUACUAGUGUGGAAACCCAUCUGCGUGCAAUGGCAGUAAGACCGGCAGAGUGCAAGGGCUUUCCAACACUAAGAGAAUAACAAGGAAAGUCAUGUCGAUCCCAGUGCAAUGUUAUAAUAACUUGGGGUGUAACGACCAUGACAAAGGUUUACUGCUUAAGAUGCGCAAGCCAGACUUGAGGCGAGUUGCCAUUUUCUAAAGCUGCAAGAGCUUGUAUGAUCAUAGCCUUUUCUUGUGCAUGGCAAGUUUUAAGGCGACAGAGAAACCACAAACAGAGUACAACACUGAAGCAACACAUUGCACCAAAAAUGCCUACUCCCACCCACUCUUUAAAGAAGGAAAAAGCAGAAGAUAUCCAAUCGGUGAAUUGACCCAAAGUCACUGGUUCAACACGGGUACUGUUCA